AAAAUAGAAGUAAUACUACAUUUGGCUUCGGCCCAAAUAUAGGCAUAAGCCCUAUUUUA
rnacentral:tRNA from 1 species